UGGCGGCGACCGGCGCGACGGGUGCGUAACGCGUAUGCAACCUGCCCGCAACAGGGGUAUAACGGAGAGAAAUUUUCCACUAAUCCCCCGUAUUGUCGCGUCACCGCAUGAUGGUGCGACGAAAGGUUUAUUCUGGUUGCGGAUGGGCAUGCGUGACAUUAGGUAGUUGGCGGGGCAACGGCCCACCAAGCCGACGAUGUCUAGGGAGCUGAGAGGCUUAUCCCCCACACUGGUACUGAGACACGGACCAGACUCCUACGGGAGGCAGCAGUGAGGAAUAUUGGUCAAUGGGAGGAAUCCUGAACCAGCCAUGCCGCGUGGGGAAGAAGGCCCUACGGGUUGUAAACCCCUUUUAGCCGGGAGUAAUAAGCGGGAUGCGUCCCGUGAUGAGAGUACCGGCGGAAUAAGCAUCGGCUAACUCCGUGCC
rnacentral:rRNA from 1 species